rnacentral:tRNA from 1 species
GACAAGUAGCUCAGUUGGUAGAGCAACGGACUCUUAAUCCGUGGGUCCAGGGUUCGAUCCCC